CCUCAACCUUCCGCGUAGCUGGGACAACAGGCUUGCGCCACCAACACCCGCUAAUUUUUGUAUUUUUUGUAGCUAUGGAUUUUCGCCAUGUUGCCCAGGCUCGUCUUGAAUUCAAGCUCAAAGAGAUUGCCCCUCCUCGGCCUCCGAAAGUGCUGGGAUUACAAGCGUGAGCCACCAUGCUUGGCCUGUGUUUUCUGUAUUUCUAUAAGGAGACUGAUGGCAAACUGCCGCUAGCAUUCUGCAUGGGUAUCAGAGAAAGAAAGUAGCAAAGACUGUAGCUGUUGGAGAAACAAGGUAACAAAACCUGUAUCACAGAAGGCAAGUGGUAAAGGCUGAUUCUGCUGUGAAGAAUAGGGAAAAAAAUGGAGGUAGGUACUAGUUCCUACCAAGGCAUUGUUAUAUGAAAGGAAGACAAAAUGGCGUUCACAUGGUUAUGGGUAUAGGGGGAUAGGAGGUGUGUGGGAGGCACUUAACUGGCAAAUACAAUCUUUAAAGAAGAAAGUAGUAAUUACCGUGGGAGAAACAACCAUGAAAGUAUAUAAGAUUCUCUCAACAUUUUUCAGUGGAAUGGGGAGAGGCCAACUUGCUUGGCUGUGUUCCUCUGAGCUGCCUUCCAUCCGGAGCUACUGAUUUUUCUAUUGUUGAAUUUAAAAGGACUUUUUAUUAAUGUACCCGCGGCCAAUUUAAAGGACUCUGGCUCUGAGGAGGUGGAUGGAGAAAAUUGGCCCCGAAGAUUUAACCCUAAGUUUUAAUGAAGUCUUGAGUUCCAAUGAAGACUUCCUGAAAUUAAAUUGACUCGGGCUUAUAGUGCCCCCUUGUGCCUGAUGAAGACAAACACAAACCCCUUCAGGAGGAAAUCAUCUUGAACCCAAGUUCUCUACAUUUAUACACAUUAUCUAUUUAUUGAGCAAUCAUUUAUUGAACACCUAUUAUAUGCCAGACACUCUGUCAGGAACUUAGGAUGUUUAAAUAUAAGGUCGUAACAAAUGUCACAAAAUUGAAGAAAAACAGACACUAUGGAGAGUUUGGCUUAUAAGCAAAGAAGAGCCUUCUAUUUCCUCCUAGAUCCCUAGGCAAACAAAGGAUUUCAGAUAUUGAAAUGAUUAGAUACAGACUAUAAAAAUAACUAUUUACUAAAAGUUUAAUGAAAUAAAAAAUAGAAUAAUAAAACAAUCAAGGAGCACGGGAUAAUCAAAACCAAGUACAUUUGAAAAAGAACAAAAGAGAACUUUGUUAUACUCCAUAAUGAUAAAAUAAAAAUCCAGAAGUAAGAUGUAACAUUCAAAACCUUAUAGGCACUGGACUACCGAACCACUACUAUGUCAAUAAAUAACUGACAGAAUUAGAAGGGGAAUUUCAAAUUUACAAUUGUAGGGUAACCUUUCAAUAUUCUGUAUGAGUGUUAGACACUUAUAUUACAAACAAAGAAAAAUGCUAAUGGUUGUCCAGGAUUUGAAUAAGACAAUAAGCAAAUUUGAUCUAUCUAUGAUUACCUUCAUUUGACACAGAAAACAUCCCUUCUAUUUUUCAAAGCAUACAUUGGACAAUUUCAAAAAAAAUUAAUCCUGGUUUCAGAAAGUUAUAGAAAUUAAGGAACAUAACUACAAAAAGGGAGAUACAAAGAACAAUAAGAGAAUGCUGUGUAAUGUUUACAAAAAAUUAAACUCAGUGGAAAAUAAUUUUCAAGAAGAAAAUUAAUAGACAAGCUGAGUAAACAAAUUAUGAUUAUGAAAAUAAGGUAGGCAGUUAAAAAAAAAUCUUUUCUGUGUCUUUCCACCCAAAUACUGCCAAGUCCAAUCUGAUUUUCCAAGUUUUAGUGAAUUUUUAAGGAAUAGAUCAUCUCUUAUUUUUUUUUUUUUUCUGAGAUGGGUCUCGCUAUGUUGCCUCCACUGUAGUGCAGUGGCUAUACACAGGUGUGAUGGCAGCACCCUACAGUCUCUAACUCCUGGGCUCAAGUGGUCCUUCUGCUUCACCUCCUAAGUAGCUGGGACUACAGGGACAUGCCACCUUACUUGGCAUGAUACCUAUUUUACAGAAUCUGUUACUAUAGAAAAAUAGCUCUCCUACUUACUUUUUUCUUUUAAAAUUGUAUAACAUUAUUAGCAAAACUAGAGGAAAAUACAAAUUUUAAAAAGGGAGAAGAAAAAAACAAAAGUAUAGCUUUGUCUCACUAAUGAACAUUCAUUUUUGUUUUUCAGAAAUAAAUGCCUAUUAUGAGAAAACAUGGAAACCAGGAGAAAUUGCAGAGACCAUAUUAUUUAAAUAAAUAGCAUAUUAUAUAGGGUUUAUUCUAAGAAUAGAAGGAAGUUUAGCAUUCUAAAUCUGCCAGUUUAAGAAAUUAAUAAAGGAAGGCCCAGAGCAGUGGCUCACGCCUGCAUUCCUAGUACUUUAGGAGGCCGAGACAGGUGGGUCACUUGAUGUCAGGAGUUCAAGGCCAGCCUGGCCAAUGGCAGGAACCCCUGUCUUCUACUGAAAAUACAAAAAUUAGCCAGACAUGGUGGCAUGCACCUGUAGUCCCAGCUACUUGGGAAACUGAGGCAGAAGAAUCACUUGAACCUGGGAGGUGGAGGUUGUAAUGAGCUUAGAUCAAGGCACUGCACUCCAGCCUGGGUGACAGAGUGAGACUCCAUCUCAAAAAUAAAAAAUAAAAUAAAAAAAGAGAUUAAUAAAAAACGUGAUCAUCUCCAAAGAUAAUGAGAAAGCAAAUUCUAAAUUACUGAAAAAUGUAAUGUCGAGCAAACCCUAAUGAAUAUUUUGUAGAGCACUGUAAAAUGCAUAUCAAUGAAUGAAAAGAGUCAAGAU